AUCUCCCACUGCUGCUCUGGAGCUGCAAAAACUGAGGCACAUGGUUCAACUGGAGAGAAGCAGAGCUGAAAAGCUGGAGGAGGUUAAAAUGCUGGAAGAAGCAAACAAGGUCCUGAAAGAGGAUAAAGAGUUUUUGCUUCACCAAUUGAAACCAACCCAAGCUCCACAAAUGAAAUGGAAGAAGCAAAGUGUGGAAGUGUCCUCUGAUGAUGAAUUAAGCUCUUCAUCAUUCCACUCAAGCUCUACCGAAGAAGAGGAGAUGCCAAAGAAAAAAAAAGAAAAGGACCCAUCGCCGAAGGGAAGACGAUAGCCCACGGUUUGAGAAGAAUCGGACCCGCAACAUACAAAGAAAUACACAGAUGUCAUGGAUUUAUGGGGUAAGGGGCCCCAAGUGUGGUGUCUGUCUCCUGAAUAGGUCAGGAUAAAGAAUCUGCUCUGAUUGCCCGCAAACCUGUUUGACCAUGGAAACCACCCUGGGGUCUCCGAAGGAACCGACAGAGAAGCAAUGAAUAUUCAAACCUUUCCAAAACAUUUUGGUGAAGGUGAAUGGGGGCUUGUUGAAGACAUCUCUGCAAACAGAUGGACCGUUGGAAACCAUCUGCUAGUGAAGCAGCUAAAUGUUCAAUGAUGCAUUGCGAAAUGAUUUAGCUUUCAAGGAUCCAAGGAAAGUAGUUAGUAAUGAUGGCAUCUGUACAGAGAGCAAACACUCUCUUUUAGAUAUGAUCUAUUGCUUCUAAAAACCAGGGCCCUUCUUAAAGAGGUAGCGGUCCAUUUGUAAAUUGUAAUUGUCAGGCUGGCUGAAAUAAAUUACUAUUUAAGCAUUCCUGGAUUAUUUAUUUAUUUAUUUAUUUCCUUUUAUUUCUGCAAUCAGUGUUAUCUUCUCUUCCCAACCAAGU